rnacentral:rRNA from 1 species
AGAGUUUGAUCCUGGCUCAGAGCGAACGCUGGCGGCAGGCUUAACACAUGCAAGUCGAACGGGCGUAGCAAUACGUCAGUGGCAGACGGGUGAGUAACGCGUGGGAACGUACCUUUUGGUUCGGAACAACACAGGGAAACUUGUGCUAAUACCGGAUAAGCCCUUACGGGGAAAGAUUUAUCGCCGAAAGAUCGGCCCGCGUCUGAUUAGCUAGUUGGUGAGGUAAUGGCUCACCAAGGCGACGAUCAGUAGCUGGUCUGAGAGGAUGAUCAGCCACAUUGGGACUGAGACACGGCCCAAACUCCUACGGGAGGCAGCAGUGGGGAAUAUUGGACAAUGGGGGAAACCCUGAUCCAGCCAUGCCGCGUGAGUGAUGAAGGCCCUAGGGUUGUAAAGCUCUUUUGUGCGGGAAGAUAAUGACGGUACCGCAAGAAUAAGCCCCGGCUAACUUCGUGCCAGCAGCCGCGGUAAU